rnacentral:rRNA from 1 species
UUUGGACAAUGGGCGCAAGCCUGAUCCAGCCAUGCCGCGUGUCUGAAGAAGGCCUUCGGGUUGUAAAGGACUUUUGUCAGGGAAGAAAAGCUUGAGGCUAAUACCCUUGAGUGAUGACGGUACCUGAAGAAUAAGCACCGGCUAACUACGUGCCAGCAGCCGCGGUAAUACGUAGGGUGCGAGCGUUAAUCGGAAUUACUGGGCGUAAAGCGGGCGCAGACGGUUACUUAAGUCAGAUGUGAAAUCCCCGGGCUCAACCUGGGAACUGCGUUUGAAACUGGGUGGCUAGAGUAUGUCAGAGGGGGGUAGAAUUCCACGUGUAGCAGUGAAAUGCGUAGAGAUGUGGAGGAAUACCGAUGGCGAAGGCAGCCCCCUGGGAUAAUACUGACGUUCAUGCCCGAAAGCGUGGGUAGCAAACAGGAUUAGAUACCCUGGUAGUCCACGCCCUAAACGAUGUCAAUUAGCUGUUGGGGCACUUGAUGCCUUAGUAGCGUAGCUAACGCGUGAAAUUGACCGCCUGGGGAGUACSGUCGCAAGAUUAAAACUCAAAGGAAUUGACGGGGACCCGCACAAGCGGUGGAUGAUGUGGAUUAAUUCGAUGCAACGCGAAGAACCUUACCUGGUCUUGACAUGUACGGAAUCCUCCAGAGACGGAGGAGUGCCUUCGGGAGCCGUAACACAGGUGCUGCAUGGCUGUCGUCAGCUCGUGUCGUGAGAUGUUGGGUUAAGUCCCGCAACGAGCGCAACCCUUGUCAUUAGUUGCCAUCAUUAAGUUGGGCACUCUAAUGAGACUGCCGGUGACAAGCCGGAGGAAGGUGGGGAUGACGUCAAGUCCUCAUGGCCCUUAUGACCAGGGCUUCACACGUCAUACAAUGGUCGGUACAGAGGGUAGCCAAGCCGCGAGGUGGAGCCAAUCCCACAAAACCGAUCGUAGUCCGGAUUGCACUCUGCAACUCGAGUGCAU